rnacentral:rRNA from 1 species
UGAGUAUGCACCUAUUGUCGCUGGCAUUUAUCCGACCCAUUUAACAGGUAAAACUGUUGGAUACUCGGAACCGUUACUUUGAGAAAAUUAGAGUGUUUCAAGCAGGCGUAAUGCCUGAAUACUCCAGCAUGGAAUAACAAGUGAGGACUCAGGUCCUUCUUGUUGGUUUAAGAACCUGAGUAAUGAUUAAGAGGAACAGUCGGGGGUAUUCGUACUUGGUAGUCAGAGGUGAAAUUCUUAGAUUUACCAAAGACGAACUACUGCGAAGGCAUCUACCAUGGAUGUUUUCAUUAAUCAAGAACGAAAGUUAGGGGAUCGAAGAUGAUCAGAUACCAUCGUAGUCUUAACCAUAAACUAUGCUGACUAGGGAUCGGAAGUUGUCAAUCAUAUGACUCUUUCAGCACCUUUUGAGAAAUCAAAGUCUUUGGGUUCCGGGGGUAGUAUGGUUGCAAAGCUGAAACUUAAAGAAAUUGACGGAAGGGCACCACCAGGAGUGGAGCUUGCGGCUUAAUUUGACUCAACACGGGAAAACUCACCCGGUCCGGACACCGUAAGGAUUGACAGACUGAUAGCUCUUUCUUGAUUCGGUGGUUGGUGGUGCAUGGCCGUUCUUAGUUGGUGGAGUAAUUUGUCUGGUUUAUUCCGAUAACGAGCGAGACUCUAGCCUGCUAAAUAGAACGAGGAUAAACCUUUUCAUAGGUCCUCGAUGCUUCUUAGAGGAAUUAGCGG